GGUGGCUAGGGCUGGCGCCAGGCGCUGCGGCAGCUCGGGGCUUGUAAACAGAUACCCCCUCACGUGACCGAGUGAACUACAUGCUCCUGGGGGCGUGUUCUCUUUCCCGCAAGCUGCGCCACAAAGGAGCGGGGCGGUCGGAGGGCAGAGAGGCGGGCGAGCAAGCAGGGAGAGCACCCCCAGCGUUUUAGGAUGGCUGAAGGUGCCUGGCAAGGGUGAGCGGUGGGGGCGGGGGUGCUGUUGGGCACGGCACGGCCAGUGGCUGAGUCCGUUGGCGGGCAGGGCUGGUGACCCUUUCCCCGGGGCCUGGCCCUGGAGCCACCAUGUUUUUGGCGCUCAAGGAGAGACUCCAGUUGGACUGGGUUGCCUGGCGGCUGCAUGUGUUCUACAAGCGGAAGAAGCACAAGUUCAUCUUCAUCAUCUCCUGGAAUGAGAUUGAGGGCAAGUUUGUCAUAACCUGCUACAACCGGAUGGCCCAGAGGCAGAGGAGCGGCACCAGCGGUCAGGUCUGCUUGGGCCACGACCUGGACACCUGAGGCUGGAAGAUCCUCUCCCAAGAAUUCUUCAUGGAAACCCACGACCGGGAGUAUUAUGAACCCUUAGCGAGCUGCAGCAGAAGGACCAGGAAGCGCAUCCAGGAGAUGCUCAGCGGUACUAAGAGGUGAGGCCUUCGGAAGGUGAUUAGGAUUAGACGAGGUCGUGAAGGUGGAGCCCUCCCGAAUGGGAUUAUUGUCCUUAUAAGUGUCAUCAGUCUGGACCGCUUUCCUUCCUCCCU